CGGGGUGUAGUUCAGUUGGUUAGAGCACACGUCUGGGGGGCGUGAAGUCGGUGGUUCGAGUCCACUCACCCCGA
rnacentral:tRNA from 1 species